AAAUGAAUUGACGGGGGCCCGCACAAGCGGUGGAGCAUGUGGUUUAAUUCGAGGCUACGCGAAGAACCUUACCUGGGCUUGACAUCCCCUGCUAGUCGAUGAAAGUCGAUGUUCCCUGCGGGGACAGGGAGACAGGUGCUGCAUGGUUGUCGUCAGCUCGUGUCGUGAGAUGUUGGGUUAAGUCCCGCAACGAGCGCAACCCUUGCCUUGUGUUGCCAGCAUUAAGUUGGGGACUCACAAGGGACUGCCGGAGAUAAUCCGGAGGAAGGCGGGGAUGACGUCAAAUCAUCAUGGCCUUUAUGUCCAGGGCUACACACGUGCUACAAUGGCCGGUACAAAGGGCAGCCACACCGCGAGGUGGCGCGAAUCUUGAAAACCGGUCUCAGUUCGGAUUGCAGGCUGCAACUCGCCUGCAUGAAGCUGGAAUCGCUAGUAAUCGCGGAUCAGAAUGCCGCGGUGAAUACGUUCCCGGGCCUUGUACACACCGCCCGU
rnacentral:rRNA from 1 species